rnacentral:rRNA from 1 species
UGGGAAUUGGACAAUGGGCGAAAGCCUGAUCCAGCAAUGCCGCGUGUGUGAAGAAGGCCUUCGGGUUGUAAAGCACUUUUGUCCGGAAAGAAAUCCUUGGCUCUAAUACAGUCGGGGGAUGACGGUACCGGAAGAAUAAGCACCGGCUAACUACGUGCCAGCAGCCGCGGUAAUACGUAGGGUGCAAGCGUUAAUCGGAAUUACUGGGCGUAAAGCGUGCGCAGGCGGUUUGCUAAGACCGAUGUGAAAUCCCCGGGCUCAACCUGGGAACUGCAUUGGUGACUGGCAGGCUAGAGUAUGGCAGAGGGGGGUAGAAUUCCACGUGUAGCAGUGAAAAUGCGUAGAGAUGUGGAGGAAUACCGAUGGCGAAGGCAGCCCCCUGGGCCAAAUACUGACGCUCAUGCACGAAAAGCGUGGGGGAGCAAAACAGGAUUAGAUACCCUGGUAGUCCACGCCCUAAAACGAUGUCAACUAGUUGUUGGGGGAUUCAUUUCCUUAGUAACGUAGCUAACGCGUGAAGUUGACCGCCU